rnacentral:lncRNA from 10 species
AAGGGGAGGCUGGAGGGUCUGGGUGACUCCUCUUCCUGGCUGAGAGAGACUGCUUCACCCACACUGCCCUUGGGGGCCAAGUGAGGUGUGGGGGCAAAUGGCUUUCUUGUGAAACAGACUCCGAACACCCUGGGGUAGGCACCAAACCAUGCUGAGGAAUAAAGAGCUGAGAAGUGGGAGGGAGACAGUAAACUGAAGGAGAAUAGGAAAGAGGAGGAAAAGGAGGUGAGCAGGGAGGUGAGCAGGGAGGUGAGCCACGAGGUGGGGGGUGAAACAGAGAGAGGAGGUGAGGGAGGAGGUGAGCCCCAGGGUGGGGUGAGAGAGGAGGAGACAGGGGAGGUGAGGGGGACAGGGGAGGUGAGGGGGACAGGGGAGCCACGAGGCGGAGGGUGAAACAGAGAGGAGGAGAUGGGGGAAGUAAGCCACAGGGUUGGGGGUGAGACAGAGAGGAGAGGGGGUGAGAGAGAAAGGAAGUAAAAGAGCAAGAGAAGGUGAGAGAGAGAGGAGGUGAGAGUCAGAGAGGGAAGUCCCCAGCCCCGUGCCCACUCCAUGGCUGCCUGGUCUUUCCCCUCAGCCCACGCAGAGAGCAGGGGGAAGCUGGUCCUCCCACCCCAACGCCCGUCAGGACCACGCUCACAUCACUGCAGCAGACGGGACUGCAUACGUACAGCAUGGUGCCAACCAGUGGGACAUGGAGACACCAUCUCUCUGACCCCCAAACAGAACCUGACGUGCGCAGGUGUCCUAAA